rnacentral:rRNA from 1 species
GCAACGAGCGCAACCCCUGCCUUUAGUUGCCACCAGAUUAUGCUGAGCACUCUAAAGGGACUGCCGGUGAAAAACCGGAGGAAGGUGGGGAUGACGUCAAGUCCUCAUGGCCUUUAUGUCCAGGGCUACACACGUACUACAAUGGGCGGUACAAUGAGUCGCAAACCCGCGAGGGGGAGCCAAUCUCAAAAAACCGCUCUCAGUUCGGAUUGCAUCUCCUCCUCUCGAAUGCAUGAAGCUGGAAUCGCUAGUAAUCGC